UACGUAUGUCUCGAGCGUUAUCCGGAAUUACUGGGUGUAAAGGGUUCGCAGGCUGAAAUGUAAGUCAGGUAUGAAAGACCGGAGCUCAACUCCGAGUUUGUGCUUGAAACUGUAUUUCUAGAAUUAGGGAGAGGUAAGCGGAAUUCUAAGUGUAGGGGUGCAAUCCGUAGAUACUUAGAGGAACACCAAAAGCGAAGGCAGCUUACUGGAACUAUAUUGACGCUCAUGAACGAAAGCGUGGGGAGCAAAA
rnacentral:rRNA from 1 species